AGAGCUUGCUCUCGGGUGACGAGCGGCGGACGGGUGAGUAAUGUCUGGGAAACUGCCUGAUGGAGGGGGAUAACUACUGGAAACGGUAGCUAAUACCGCAUAACGUCGCAAGACCAAAGUGGGGGACCUUCGGGCCUCAUGCCAUCAGAUGUGCCCAGAUGGGAUUAGCUAGUAGGUGGGGUAAUGGCUCACCUAGGCGACGAUCCCUAGCUGGUCUGAGAGGAUGACCAGCCACACUGGAACUGAGACACGGUCCAGACUCCUACGGGAGGCAGCAGUGGGGAAUAUUGCACAAUGGGCGCAAGCCUGAUGCAGCCAUGCCGCGUGUAUGAAGAAGGCCUUCGGGUUGUAAAGUACUUUCAGCGAGGAGGAAGGCAUUAAGGUUAAUAACCUUGGUGAUUGACGUUACUCGCAGAAGAAGCACCGGCUAACUCCGUGCCAGCAGCCGCGGUAAUACGGAGGGUGCAAGCGUUAAUCGGAAUUACUGGGCGUAAAGCGCACGCAGGCGGUCUGUCAAGUCGGAUGUGAAAUCCCCGGGCUCAACCUGGGAACUGCAUUCGAAACUGGCAGGCUAGAGUCUUGUAGAGGGGGGUAGAAUUCCAGGUGUAGCGGUGAAAUGCGUAGAGAUCUGGAGGAAUACCGGUGGCGAAGGCGGCCCCCUGGACAAAGACUGACGCUCAGGUGCGAAAGCGUGGGGAGCAAACAGGAUUAGAUACCCUGGUAGUCCACGCCGUAAACGAUGUCGACUUGGAGGUUGUGCCCUUGAGGCGUGGCUUCCGGAGCUAACGCGUUAAGUCGACCGCCUGGGGAGUACGGCCGCAAGGUUAAAACUCAAAUGAAUUGACGGGGGCCCGCACAAGCGGUGGAGCAUGUGGUUUAAUUCGAUGCAACGCGAAGAACCUUACCUACUCUUGACAUCCAGAGAACUUAGCAGAGAUGCUUUGGUGCCUUCGGGAACUCUGAGACAGGUGCUGCAUGGCUGUCGUCAGCUCGUGUUGUGAAAUGUUGGGUUAAGUCCCGCAACGAGCGCAACCCUUAUCCUUUGUUGCCAGCGGUUCGGUCGGGAACUCAAAGGAGACUGCCAGUGAUAAACUGGAGGAAGGUGGGGAUGACGUCAAGUCAUCAUGGCCCUUACGAGUAGGGCUACACACGUGCUACAAUGGCAUAUACAAAGAGAAGCGACCUCGCGAGAGCAAGCGGACCUCAUAAAGUAUGUCGUAGUCCGGAUUGGAGUCUGCAACUCGACUCCAUGAAGUCGGAAUCGCUAGUAAUCGUAGAUCAGAAUGCUACGGUGAAUACGUUCCCGGGCCUUGUACACACCGCCCGUCACACCAUGGGAGUGGGUUGCAAAAGAAGUAGGUAGCUUAACCUUCGGGAGGGCGCUUACCACUUUGUGAUUCAUGACUGGGGUGAAGUCGUAACAAGGUAACCGUAGGGGAACCUGCGGUUGGAUCACCU
rnacentral:rRNA from 1 species